rnacentral:rRNA from 1 species
CAAUAGCGUAUAUUAAAGUUGUUGCGGUUAAAAAGCUCGUAGUUGGAUUUCUGCUGAGAACGACCGGUCCGCCCUUUGGGUGUGUAUCUGGCUCUUUCUUGGCAUCUUCUUGGUGAACGUUGCUGCACUUGACUGUGUGGAGCGCUACCCAGGACUUUUACUUUGAGGAAAUUAGAGUGUUUCAAGCAGGCAUACGCCUUGAAUACAUUAGCAUGGAAUAAUAAGAUAGGACCUCGGUUCUAUUUUGUUGGUUUCUAGAGCUGAGGUAAUGAUUAAUAGGGAUAGUUGGGGGCAUUCGUAUUUAACUGACAGAGGUGAAAUUCUUGGAUUUGUUAAAGACGGACUACUGCGAAAGCAUUUGCCAAGGAUGUUUUCAUUGA